UACGUAGGGGGCUAGCGUUGUCCGGAUUUAUUGGGCGUAAAGAGCGUGUAGGCGGCUUGGUAGGUCCGCUGUGAAAACUCGAGGCUCAACCUCGAGAUGUCGGCGGAAACCACUUGGCUAGAGUCCGGAAGAGGAGAGUGGAAUUCCUGGUGUAGCGGUGAAAUGCGCAGAUAUCAGGAAGAACACCAGUGGCGAAGGCGGCACUCUGGGCCAGUACUGACGCUGAGGAGCGAAAGCGUGGGGAGCGAACAGG
rnacentral:rRNA from 1 species